rnacentral:rRNA from 1 species
AUACGGAGGGAGCUAGCGUUGUUCGGAAUUACUGGGCGUAAAGCGCACGUAGGCGGCUUUUUAAGUCAGGGGUGAAAUCCCGGGGCUCAACCCCGGAACUGCCCUUGAAACUGGGAAGCUAGAAUCUUGGAGAGGCGAGUGGAAUUCCGAGUGUAGAGGUGAAAUUCGUAGAUAUUCGGAAGAACACCAGUGGCGAAGGCGACUCGCUGGACAAGUAUUGACGCUGAGGUGCGAAAGCGGGGGGAGCAAACAGGAUUAGAUACCCGGGUAGUCCACGCCGUAAACGAUGAUAACUAGCUGUCCGGGUUCACAGAACUUGGGUGGCGCAGCUAACGCAUUAAGUUAUCCGCCUGGGGAGUACGGUCGCAAGAUUAAAACUCAAAGGAAUUGACGGGG